UACAGAGGUCCCAAGCGUUGUUCGGAUUCAUUGGGCGUAAAGGGUGCGUAGGUGGCGUCGUAAGUCGGGUGUGAAAUUUCGGAGCUCAACUCCGAAACUGCAUUCGAUACUGCGGUGCUUGAGGACUGGAGAGGAGACUGGAAUUUACGGUGUAGCAGUGAAAAUGCGUAGAGAUCGUAAGGAAGACCAGUGGCGAAGGCGGGUCUCGUGGACAGUUCCUGACACUGAGGCACGAAGGCCAGGGGAGCAAACGGG
rnacentral:rRNA from 1 species